UUCAGUUUGUUCCUGCAUAAAUCUUUUUAGUACUAAACUGCUUUGGAAUGAAUUUUUUGGGGGGACAACAGCAGGAUUAGAGCCAUCCUCUAGAUGCUAUCAGGUAGGUGCGCUUGCGUAGUCGUUUGUUGUAGCAUUAUAUCCCUUUUCCCCCUUUUUAAAAAAUGUUUGUAAGACGCCUGAAAUUUGUAUAAGUUAGUUAUAUAAGUAGUUGAAUAAGAAUUGGUGAGACAUGGAAAAUAGAAGAGGACAGAGAAGAUGGAAGAGGAUUGCUUUGAAAUAGAAGGAAAGGAGAUAGAAGAAGUUUGAGGAAAGGAGGAGGAUUUUGUUCGCUGUAACGGAAGUUUUUUGAAUGAAAUUUGGAGCAACUGUAUUAAGAUGUUAUUGGUAUCUUGGACGUCAAGUUUUAUUUAUUUAUGUAUUAUACAAGCAUAUCUAUUGGUGGAAAUGUAGAAUGGCAGCUGUUAUAACAACUUGGAUGAAUUAUUAGAAACACCAAAGAAGUUUUGGCACAAUUUAAACUGGGAGAAGACUCACAGAUGACCAAUUUAUUCUACAGUAGAUACAGGACAUUAGAUUGACUUCAACAACGCAGAUCACUCUCAAAAAUGAUAUCUGUUUGAGUGAUGUACUGGGCGUUAACAGUUGCUGUUACAAAUCUGCAAAUGAGUUAUUAAAUGAUGUUUCCAGUCCAAGUUCCAGUUUUAAAGGAAAAAAUUUAAUGGACACAGAAAAAUGCCAUUUACUGGAUUGACUUCAACACCUGUUGCCUUUUAUUUAUGGUAUACAAUGGGACAAUCGCUGUUAGAAGUCAACAAGUAGUACUAAUUGCAAAUAAUAUAUUAUGGCGGACAUCAAAAAGCUUUAAAUGGAAUGAAACUUGCAGAAAAAGACUCAGUAGACCAUUUAGGACGCAGAAAAAGACUCAGAAAGUUCAUUUAGAACUCUACUUAAUAGCUGUUAGAGUGGAUACAGUCCUUCAUCAAUGAGAGCUGAAGAAAUUGAUGGUAACGGACAUUUUGACAGCUACUGUCACAACUCAACGAGCAAGUUGCAGCUUUGAAGGAACAUAUUUGAUUGGAUACAGAACAAUGUCAGUCGUUUCAGGAUGUAAAGUUAAUAGAACCAGGGUUGGGCUCGACAUCUCUUACCUUUGAAUAAUGGCAUACGAUAGGACAAUUGCUAUUAGAAACCGAUAAGCCAAACUAGCUGCAAAUAAUAUGUAUGGUGGUUAUAAAAGAGAUUUAAAUGGAAUGAAACUUGUGCAGAAGAAAUUGGUCUGCUGUUACUUAAUAGCUGUUAGAGCGGAUCCAGUUCUUCAUCAAUGGUAUAAGAUGGGAUAAUUGCUGUUAAAAAUCCACAAGCUGUACUAUCUGCAAAUAUUAUGGUGGACAUCAAAAAGCUUUAAAUGGAAUGAAAUUUGCAGGGAAAGACUCAGAAAGACCAUUGAGGACUGUACUUAAUAGCUGUUAGUGUGGUCGCAGUCCUUCAUCACUGAUAUCUCUGCAUUUUUUUAAUAAUGGAUAUCCCAACAGUUGCUCCUACUCCUCACUUUCCUCUUUCACUCAACAUAAAGCAGACUCAAUACUCCUCAAUGCCUCACCAAGGUUCGUUAGCUUCAUUAAUAUUGUUAUUGUUUCAAUAAAUUUGUUUACUGGUUUUUAUCCUCUUCUUAACUAUUUAAGUAUAUCAGGCGUCAUAUUAGUGUUAUUGAUUUUUUGUAAAAUUUUGAUAAUCCGGAAAAAAAUCUUUUUUUUUCUUAAGAUUUUGCAAAAUAAAACACUAGUUAAGAACAAUUCACUUUAUUUUAUGAAUAGGACCAUUAUUUCUGUUUAUAUUGUCUUUUUAUUUAUUUAUAUUUUGAUGCUCUAUUUAUUAUCUAAUCGCCUCUAGUUUGAGGCAUGUUUGAUUAAUUUUAAAUCAUUAAAAUCUAUGCAUUAAUCUUUAUGAAAAAUAUGUUGAGCAAUAUAAUAGUAAUCUGUUAUAAUUUCUCUUAAGCUUUUUUUCAAUCUCAUUUAUCUUUUAUUUUUGCAUUCAUUAAAGGUCAUUAGAUAUUGUAAUUAUGAAUUAAAUU
rnacentral:lncRNA from 1 species